rfam:marine gamma proteobacterium HTCC2207 scf_1099215844473 genomic scaffold, whole genome shotgun sequence.
GGGUGGUUAGCUCAGCUGGUAGAGCAUCGCCCUUACAAGGCGAGGGUCACAGGUUCAAUCCCUGUACCACCCA